rnacentral:misc_RNA from 1 species
AGACAGUCUCUAGAAUCCAUAAAUUUACUGGUUUAGUCCAAACUAAUUAAAAGAAAAAAGAGAUGCAAACCUCUAGCACAUAAAAGAAUUGAACAUCAAUUUGACAAUGUUGCUUGAGGAUUGCAGAUGGAUGAGUCGUGUUCCUUGAUAAACCAAUCGAUAUCAAAGACACCAGUAUAUUAACUGAACUAAUAUUUUUUCAAUUAAAAUUCGAUAAGAGAAAAAAAAAACAAGAUUUAGCUCUCAACAAGUGCUUGAUGAGUA